rnacentral:tRNA from 1 species
CGGACUGAGGCCCGCUGGUUUGGGCGCUUAGCUGUUAAUUAAGUUUUUGUAGGAUCGAGGCCUGCCAGUUCAG